rnacentral:lncRNA from 1 species
GUGGAUCGUGUGGGUCAUACAGACGGGUACAAACCUAAUUUUCUCUCUAUUCUAAGCUUAAAACAUGAAAGACCUUCAUCUUUGAUGCCUGUGGUCUGAGUUUCAUUGAUCAGCUGGAAACGGAUUUCUAUAAUUUUGUACUAAUAAUUUUCUUGGUUGUUUUGUAUAUUUUUGGUUCAUUACUUUGUGUAACACAUAUAAAUCUCAGGGAGAAUAAAAUAGUGGAGGUUUUUUAUAUACGUGCUCGAUUAGAAUGAUAAUCUUCAGAGUGCCACAUCAAAAUAGAAUUAGAGGUCCAAACGUAAAAGCUAAUUGUAGGGAAAAAGAUAAAAGGAAGCUUGUAUUAAAAUAAAGUGAGGGUGUAUACAACCUCAGCAACUACUCGAACAUAAACUACAAUAUAUACAGGGGAAAAGGACUGCGCACUUGAAAUCCAUCAUUUAUAGUCGUGGGUUGAGAAAUUGUAACUUUUAUCCUACAAAUAGAGAAUAAAAGGAGUUUAACUUAGUUGUGUUCCAUGAUACUACAACACAUCUCCAGGCAAAAUAUGUAUUUCUAAAUCUGAACAGGCAUCAAAACACCCAAACGUAGAGUUAUAUGGAAAGGUUGAAUAGGAAUUAAUCAUUGAAGGAAAUAAAUGAGAGAGUGGGUUAGAGAGAGGCAGGCUUUUGGACAAAUAUAAUAUCCAGUGCAACCAUUGGUGCACAUUGAGAUAUGGGAUUGGGGUUGCUUUUCUUUAGGACUUUUACACAUAAAAGUAUGCUGUCACACAGAAAAAAGGGACAAGGGUUGAGGAACACCGUAUGAUAGUUUUCGUCCCUUAAACAAUAGGUCGAUCAUUUCAUUAUGAAUGUUCCAGUAAAGUCACCAAAAUGAAAGAAAUUUGAAAGAACAAAAAGAGGUUCGCCCCAAAACUUGAUCCAUUAUGCACAUUAUUUACUUGUUCUUAUAACAGAAAAACUAUGUUAUAUAAAUUUAUAUUACUACUUCUUAUUGAACUUGGAGAAUAUCUACGAGAGAUUGACACUAUCCUACAUGGCAGAGUUAAUGUAGAGGUCUUUCAAGUCACUCUUAAUCUCUUGGUUUGUAUUCUCCAAGUCGAAAUGAGUUUGAAUAACUAUCAAGAAUGAAUGAAUCAUGAUGCAUUUAAUAAUCGCAGUAAAAUUCAAUUGAGUGAGGAGAUGGAGAACAAUCUCCUCAAACUCAGUAGGCUCCACAUCCUAAUCCUUGGGAAUUUUUCGUAGUGCAGUUAACAUCUUGAAAAAUCUGAUUUUGAAACAAAGGUUUAAUCCCAAAAAUUAACUUGUCUUAUCCAGACAAUACCACCAAGCAAUUUAUGAAAAUUUAUUCCAGCCUCAACAAAAAACUAAAUUAAUUUCCAACGUUUUUCGGACGUGCUUGUAUCCAACUUUCAAAAAUUUCACCAUGUAAACAAAGGUGUUCUUCCCCAAUGAUAGAUGCCACAUCAUACAAAAGCUUCAAACUUCAAAAUUGUGGCUUCUUGUGAAAUAAGUACAUUUGAAUACUAUUUUGGACAGAUAAUAAUCAUAUUAUGUAUUUGUAAAGCAUAUUCUUAUUUGUAUAAAUACAUUCAACACAAUUAGUAUUAAUUAUUCAAUUCUGUCGUAGAUUACACAGGUUGAUCUACUAAACUUCUCAAUAAUCUGAGAAAUGCAAAGCAACAAUACUAACUAAGACAUUUCUGCCAUAUAUAACAUUCAUAAUCAAUCUAUGAUGCAAGCAAAUGAGAGAUAAAAACAAAGACAGGCAAAUAAAUGGACAGAAAUGGCAAUGAUAUCAUG